AUUGAACGCUGGCGGCAGGCCUAACACAUGCAAGUCGAACGAGUGGCGGACGGGUGAGUAAUGUCUGGGAAACUGCCUGAUGGAGGGGGAUAACUACUGGAAACGGUAGCUAAUACCUCAUACCAUCAUAUGUGCCCAGUUGGGAUUAGCUAGUUGGUGGUGUAACGGCUAACCAGGGCGACGAUCCCUAGCUGGUCUGAGAGGAUGACCAGCCACAUUGGAAUUGAGACACGGUCCAGACUCCGACGGAGGGCAGCAGUGGGGAAUAUUGCACAAUGGGCGCAAGCCUGAUGCAGACAUGCCGCGUGUAUGAAGAGGGCCGUGGGGUUGUAAGGUACUUUCAGCGGGGAGGCGUUACCCGCAGAAGAAGCACCGGCUAACUCCGUGCCAGCAGCCGCGGUAAUAC
rnacentral:rRNA from 1 species